UUCCGGUUGAUCCCGCCGGACCUGACUGCUAUCGGAUUGAUACUAAGCCAUGCGAGUCAUUGUAGCAAUACAAGGCAUACGGCUCAGUAACGCGUAGUCAACCUAACCUAUGGACGGGAAUAACCUCGGGAAACUGAGAAUAAUGCCCGAUAGAACAUUAUACCUGGAAUGGUUUAUGUUCCAAAUGAUUUAUCGCCGUAGGAUGGGACUGCGGCCUAUCAGUUUGUUGGUGAGGUAAUGGCCCACCAAGACUAUUACAGGUACGGGCUCUGAGAGGAGUAGCCCGGAGAUGGGUACUGAGACAAGGACCCAGGCCCUAUGGGGCGCAGCAGGCGAGAAAACUUUGCAAUGUGCGAAAGCACGACAAGGUUAAUCCGAGUGAUUUCUGCUAAAGAAAUCUUUUGCAAGUCAUAAAACCACUAGUGAAUAAGGGGUGGGCAAGUUCUGGUGUCAGCCGCCGCGGUAAAACCAGCACCUCAAGUGGUCAGGAGGAUUAUUGGGCCUAAAGCAUCCGUAGCCGGCUCUGUAAGUUUUCGGUUAAAUCCAUGUGCUCAACGCAUGGGCUGCCGAAAAUACUGCAUAGCUAGGGAGUGGGAGAGGUAGACGGUACUCGGUAGGAAGGGGUAAAAUCCUUUGAUCUAUCGAUGACCACCUGUGGCGAAGGCGGUCUACCAGAACACGUUCGACGGUGAGGGAUGAAAGCUGGGGGAGCAAACCGGAUUAGAUACCCGGGUAGUCCCAGCUGUAAACGAUGCAGACUCGAUGAUGCAUUGGCAUAUAGCCAGUGCAGUGUCGCAGGGAAGCCGUUAAGUCUGCCGCCUGGGAAGUACGUACGCAAGUAUGAAACUUAAAGGAAUUGGCGGGGGAGCACCACAAGGGGUGAAGCCUGCGGUUCAAUUGGAUUCAACGCCGGG
rnacentral:rRNA from 1 species